rnacentral:misc_RNA from 1 species
GCGCUCGCCGGGGGACUCGCCCUCGCGGCCACCGCGUGCAGC